rnacentral:misc_RNA from 1 species
AGCCCGUUCUUCCUUUAUUCCAUUGCAAUCUAAUUCUUUUUCUUCAUUCUGUCUACAGAGAAACCCCUUAAUGACAAAAUCAGUGGAAGUCCAUAAAAGGCCAAUUGCUGUCAAACUGAUAUUCAGUUCGGUAUUCUGAGCACUAUAAGCCCCAGUCACAUCAAUGCAUACGUGAAGGCAAUCAGCAGGUACUGUUGAAAGGCCAUCAUUCAUGAUGACACGAAGAUUCUGAAAUCCAAGAGUAACGAGAUCCUUCUCAGCAGCGUCUGCCACAGACCUCAACAAUUCAAGAAUAUUUGGCCAGCUAUAAUGGAGCUUUUCCCCAUGUCUCUCUAAAACAUGAAGAAGAAUUUUCAGAGAUGCAGCACGAACAUCUAUGUUUUCAGCUGAUGAAAAUAGCACUUUCAGAGGAGAUAUGACAGAACACUCCAGUGACCUCAACUCUGUAUUCUCAGUUUGUACAUCAUUGAAUGCACACUUAAGCUUGGAUGAUGCAUGUUCCUGGAACUCAUUAGACCCUAAAACAGCAGAAAUAGAUUGAUCCAUCGCACUCAGUGCAAUAAUUCUAACAUGUUGAUUUGAACUAUUGGUAAGCUCAAUAAAGUGGCCAAUAACUUCAUCCCAUAAUGGCCCCACCCCUGUUUAUAGAAUACGAUCAUAAUGUAGCCAUGAUAAUCACCAAAAAUGAAAAGAAAAAAACUAAUCUUCACAACCCAUCCCUUCUUCCUGACACCCACUUCCCUUUUCCCUCACCUCAUUGCUGCCGGCGAUUUUGCUGUGUAAGGUCAUGGCCAAACAACUUUUUUAUCACAAACAAAAACCAUGUUAUAUUUCCCCAUCAAACCAAAUUGUCAUACAAACAGAAAAACACCCAACUUUCCUUUUCCCUCACCUCACUGACAUGGGCAACCAAUAGUUUUCUACCAAUUCAAAUUAUAUCAGUAAUUGG